rnacentral:lncRNA from 1 species
AAGGCCAGAGAUCAUUUUCACAACUAAAGGUCGUCAUCUGGGCAAAUGAACCACUCUGACUUGGAGAUUAGGGGCUCAGACAGCCGUGGAUGAGAGUCCAGCUCUACUACUUAUUAGCCUUGAUUAGACUGUGAGAGGGAUGGGAAAGACUGGUGCUUGGGGUGGCCAUCUGACCCCUGAUGGACAGGAGACCAGGACAAGCCCACUGGAUGAGCCGGAGGGGUCCAGGAGGAGGGAGUUGAGAGCUCCUGCUAGGGUUGACACAUUCUGGUAAGGAGUUCAUCUGCUGUCCACCAGGGGAGACAAUAAAAAGGUCAACACAGCUCCCACCUCGAAGCAGCUGCCAGUUUAUUACAUGAAGUGUCAGGCUGUGGACUGCAGGCAUGCCAUUUUGUCUUCAAGAACAGGUGGGAUCAGAGGUCCUUGACUGAUCAGAAUACACUGCUUUCAACCAAAACAUUAUUAGCAUUGAUUUCUUAAAAAAUAAUAGCAAAGUAGAAAACCUUUAGCUGGUCUGUUUCUUCGUGUCCUGAAACUUCCUUAUUAGUGUAAUUAAAAGUACUAAGUUAAGAAUUAG